rnacentral:lncRNA from 1 species
UCAUAAAUUCUUCAUAUACAUAUAAUAAAGGUGGUUGUUACAAAUCAACCGACUGAUUUCUUCAAGAAACUAGUUGGGUGGCAGAUCGUCGGAUCCUUCCUCGCAUAGUCAUUCGAUCGACCAAACAUACGCCGUACCACAACGUGACUCACCAUAGAAGCAGCGCCGCCCUGCUCGCAAGCAGGAGUCGCAGCACUGGCGACCCAUCACAACUUCAACGGAUGCUUCAUUGGAGCGCGAACACCUGCACGUCGGCUCUCCAAUGCAACACCGACGGCCCAUCGCAGCUCCACACUGGCGUGUCGGUGCUCCAAUGCAGUAGCGGCGGCCCAUCGCGUCUCUGGCGAUGCUCCAUUACAACGCCGCACUGGCGCAAAGGUGCUCCAACGUAGCACCGACGACCCAUCACAGCUCUGACGAUGCUUCAUUGAAACGCGAACACCUGCACGGCGGCGCUCCAACGCAGCACCAACGGGCCACCGCAUCUCCGGCGAUGCUUAACUGGAGCUGCAGCGCAAUAACGACGACAUAGUGAAUGACGACUCGUGCGGUGAGGUCGAUUGGAGCGGAAAGAGAGAAGCAUGUGCAAUCAUGACAGGAGACACAAGAGUGAAGAAAGAAAUUAGAAAGGGGGAAAGAGAGGAAGAA